UACGUAGGGGGCAAGCGUUGUCCGGAUUUAUUGGGCGUAAAGCGCUCGCAGGUGGUCCGCUGCGUCGUGCGUGAAAGACCCCGGCUCAACUGGGGGAUGUCGUGCGAUACGGGCGGACUGGAGGCCAGUAGGGGGAUGCGGAAUUCCGGGUGUAGUGGUGGAAUGCGUAGAGAUCCGGAGGAACACCAGCGGCGAAGGCAGCUCGCUGGGACGGUACUGACGCUAAGGCGCGAAAGCGUGGGGAGCGAACAGG
rnacentral:rRNA from 1 species